GCCUUCCCGGUGAGUCUGCGGGCUUAAACGGACGCGGUAAAGCGUGCUAAGGUAGCUAAAUUAUGGCCUAUUAAUUGUAGGUCCUGUGAAUGGUUUGACGAGUCUUCAACUGUCUCUAGUUUUUUUGGUGAACUUGAAUUGGAUGUGCAAAUGCUUCCAUGGGUAAGAAAGACGAGAAGACCCCGUGAAGUUAGAAAUUUUGGUUGUUGGUGAGCUUUUGGGGUGUAGGUUAAGUCACUUUAAGUGGUUUAAAGAAAAGUGAACAGCGAUAGUUUUGGCUGGGGCAGCAAAGAAGCAAGGCUAGACUUCUUUAGUUUAAAGACAGGUGUGUGACGACCCACAAGUUUAUUGGUGUGAUUAGCAGAAGAAGUUACUCCGGGGAUAACA
rnacentral:rRNA from 1 species